rnacentral:misc_RNA from 1 species
UGCCAACUUGACGGAAACACAAUCAAAUCAGCUGACGUUAUAAACAAUAUAAACAAAGAUUUGUAUUUCAUAAAUUAAAACAUAAAAAUGACUGAAACUAAUUUAAAACAGUGCAGAAUUUGUCUAGCCACCGAUGAUAAAGUACCUGUGACCGAUGCAACAUGUUAUAUUGAACUUUUCAUUCAAGUUCUUAAAUUGAAAAAUAGGAACGGAAAAUUCUUUCUUUGCAUUUGGUGCAAGUCUGCUUUGAGAAAAGCAGUGGCUGUUGUGACUAUGUUACUGGAAUCGGAAGAAAAUGUACGUAAUAAGAAUUCAACUGCAGAUUCAAGCAAGCACAAAAGUCUAUACAAUUUCAAUAUAGUUCAUAACCCUCAGAUUGAUAUACCCCUAUUUAAUAUAGAAGACAAAAAUAUAACUGAAGAAAUAGAUCACGCUGAAAAUGAAAUAAAAAAUGAAGAUUUAAAAACAGAAGAUGUAAUCAUAAAAAGAGAAAGAAAGAACAGAAAAGAAUUUGAAUUCAACAAGUUGAAUUUCGAAGUUGAAUAUUUGAAUUUAGAACAGCAAAUGAAAGAGGUUGAAUUGAAAAAGUUAAAAUAUAAAGAGUUUGAGUUUCAAUGUGAUUUAUGUGGCAUCGGGUUUUUGACCAGUGAUGUAUUUGAUGAACAUAGAAUAAGACAUACUGAGGUUGCUGGUCCAAACAAAUGCACUAUAUGUUGUCUACGCUUCAAAUCACAAGAUGUUCUCUCACAACAUAUGUUAGCUCAUAAACGCCGCUUCAAAUGUAUGCUAUGUAGCCACGUGUUCAAAAGAUGGUCUCACUGUACCAGCCAUAGGUACAAAUGCGGUGGUACAAUACAGCCUGUGGCUUGUGAAGAGUGUGGCAAGAUAUUUAGCAAUGAACAUUCCUUGAAAAUCCAUAUGAAAGUACAUAAGGCUGAAAGGAAAUAUUGCUGUGAUCAAUGCGAUAGGAAAUUUGCUAGCAAGCAGAGAUUGACUGUUCAUAUGAGGUCACAUUCCGGUGUAAAACCCUUCUCUUGUGCACAGUGCGGCCGCAGUUUCGCCACUAAGUGUAACUUACGUGCGCACGCGUCAGUACAUGAGAUGUGCAGUCUGCACUAUUGUGUAGAGUGUCACACGCACUAUAACACUGCUAAGAGCUUGAAGAGACAUUUUAGGGAGUCGGUUAAAUACACUAUGUUGGGUAGUGAACCCUGUUUUAGUCAUGAACCCUUGAACCCUUUUUAGUCAUACCUUGAUCCCUUUUAGCCAUAACAUGAACCCUUCUUAGUCAUGACGUGAACCCCUUUUCGUCAUGAACCCUUGAACCCUUUUUAGUCAUGAAUCCUUUUCAAUCUUGGACCCUAUUUUGUCAUGAGCUAUUUUUUUUCAUGAGCCCUUUUUGCCAAUUUUUUGUACAGAUAUUUAACUAUAUAUUUAUAUUCUUGUCUGCAGGUCACAUUCCGGUGUAAAACCCUUCUCUUGUGCACAGUGCGGCCGCAGUUUCGCCACUAAGUCUAACUUACGUGCGCACGCGUCAGUACAUGAGAUGUGCAGUCUGCACUAUUGUGUAGAGUGUCACACGCACUAUAACACUGCUAAGAGCUUGAAGAGACAUUUUAAAGAGUCCGUUAAACAUGCUUUGGGCAGUGAUAUGUAUUCAUGUAAGGAGUGCACUAAAAAGUUUUCAAAUGAAACGGCUUUGAGUAACCACGUAAAUGCAAGACAUGGGACUGAGUACCGCUGUACCCAUUGUGAUAAGACAUUCUCCAACAAUUCGAACUUGAAUAAACAUAUAAAGUGUAUUCAUUCACAAUAAUUGUUGUUUAAUAAAUACUUUUAUACCAAAUCAAAA